GCUAGCGUUGCUCGGAAUCACUGGGCGUAAGGGGUGCGUAGGCGGGUCUUUAAGUCAGGGGUGAAAUCCUGGAGCUCAACUCCAGAACUGCCUUUGAUACUGAAGAUCUUGAGUUCGGGAGAGGUGAGUGGAACUGCGAGUGUAGAGGUGAAAUUCGUAGAUAUUCGCAAGAACACCAGUGGCGAAGGCGGCUCACUGGCCCGAUACUGACGCUGAGGUGCGAAAGCGUGGGGAGCAAACAGG
rnacentral:rRNA from 1 species